rnacentral:rRNA from 1 species
AGUGAACGCUGGCGGUAGGCCUAACACAUGCAAGUCGAACGGCAGCACAGUAAGAGCUUGCUCUUACGGGUGGCGAGUGGCGGACGGGUGAGGAAUACAUCGGAAUCUACUUUUUCGUGGGGGAUAACGUAGGGAAACUUACGCUAAUACCGCAUACGACCUACGGGUGAAAGCAGGGGAUCUUCGGACCUUGCGCGAUUGAAUGAGCCGAUGUCGGAUUAGCUAGUUGGCGGGGUAAAGGCCCACCAAGGCGACGAUCCGUAGCUGGUCUGAGAGGAUGAUCAGCCACACUGGAACUGAGACACGGUCCAGACUCCUACGGGAGGCAGCAGUAGGGAAUAUUCGGCAAUGGGCGCAAGCCUGAUCCAGCCAUACCGCGUGGGUGAAGAAGGCCUUCGGGUUGUAAAGCCCUUUUGUUAGGGAAGAAAAGCAGCAGGUUAAUACCCCGCUGUUCUGACGGUACCCAAAGAAUAAGCACCGGCUAACUUCGUG